rnacentral:lncRNA from 1 species
CCGGCCUCCAUCCCUCCUGCUGCACGCGGGGUGGAGCGCAAGUAUAUGGCACCCUCCAAAGGGUAUGAGUACCUGCAUGUCCACCCGCCCCCGUGCUCCCUUGUCGUGCAGUCUGUGAAUGAGAGGGAGCGCCAUGGGCAGCAGGCCCCAGCACCGAAGUCCAAGGAAGUGAGGCGUCUACAGGCAGCUCCCUUGACCUCUGUAAGGAUGUGCCUAACCCUCUUAGGCCACAUGGCUGCCUGCACCUUUGUUACGGGUUAUGCGCGGCUUCGCAUGAGGCCCCUCCAGUCCUGGCUUAUCAGCCAAUACUGUCUGGCCAGGCAUCUGCUGGACGCUGUUAUCACUGUUCCACAGGAGGUAUUGGAUUCCCUCCGGUGGUGGCUAGACCAGUCCGUAGUGUGUGCGGGGCUCCCGUUUCAUCCGCCCCAACCCUCGGUAUCCCUAACAACGGAUGCCUCAGACCUGGGUUGGGGGUCCCACCUCGGAAUCCUGCGGUCACAGGGCCAAUGGUCUCCUCAGGAAGUGGCCCUCCACAUCAACAUAUGGGAGUUGAGAGCGGUCUGCCUUGCUUGCCAAGCAUUCUCCCAUCAGCUUCACGGUCACUGUGUCUUGGUAUUCACCGACAACACGACGACCAUGUACUAUAUCAACAAGCAGGGUGGCACGAGAUCCUCUCCACUAUGUCAGGAGGCGAUGCGGCUCUGGGACUUUUGUAUAGCCCACUCCAUUCACCUCAUGGCAUCCUUUCUCCCCGGAGUACGGAACACGCUGGCAGACCGUCUGAGCAGAUCCUUCCUUUCGCACGAAUGGUCCCUUCGCCCGGACGUCGCCCUCUCACUCUUCCAGAGGUGGGGUUGUCCCCAGAUGGACCUCUUCGCGUCCAGACGGAACAGGAAAUGCCAGAUGUUCUGCUCUUUUCAAGGCCGGGAACCAGGGUCGGUAGCGGAUGCCUUCCUUAUUCCGUGGACGACGCACCUGUUCUAUGCAUUCCCUCCGUUCCCGCUUAUCCACAAGGUCCUUCUGAAGGUGCACAGGGACAGGGCCCGCUUGAUUAUGAUAACUCCAGCGUGGCCCAGGCAGCAUUGGUAUCCAAUGUUGCUGGACCUGUCUCUAGCCGACCCAUUCCCCCUGCCCCUUCACCUGGAUCUGAUC